GAUGAACGCUGGCGGCGUGCCUAAUACAUGCAAGUCGAGCGAACAGAUGAGGAGCUUGCUCCUCUGACGUUAGCGGCGGACGGGUGAGUAACACGUGGAUAACCUACCUAUAAGACUGGGAUAACUUCGGGAAACCGGAGCUAAUACCGGAUAAUAUAUUGAACCGCAUGGUUCAAUAGUGAAAGACGGUUUUGCUGUCACUUAUAGAUGGAUCCGCGCCGCAUUAGCUAGUUGGUAAGGUAACGGCUUACCAAGGCAACGAUGCGUAGCCGACCUGAGAGGGUGAUGGGCCAAACUGGAAAUGAGAAACGGUCCAGAAUCCAACGGGAGGCAGAAGGAGGGAAUUUUCCGAAAGGGGAGAAAGCCUGACGGAGCAACGCCGGGGGAGGGAUGAAGGGUUUCGGAUAGUAAAACUUUGUUAUUAGGGAAAAAAAAAUGGGUAAGUAACUAUGCACGUUUUGACGGUACCAAAUAAAAAAACCACGGCUAACUACGU
rnacentral:rRNA from 1 species